CGAAGGACCACCAGUCGACAGAAUGGUUGUAUUUCUGGCCCAGCAAGAUCUGCAUGACCAACAGGCAGAAGCAUCAUCAAUACAUGGGUCUGAUGACUGAUAACACUUCCAAGUCUGGAGCAGCUUCUUCUGCUGUUGGAAUGCCAAGGAUGUGGAAGCCACUGUGUCAUCGCACAUCAUCCCAACACCAACAGGCCUCAGGCUUUGCUAAAACAGUGCAUAGUGGGAUCCACGACUGCAUGGAUGACUGAAGAUGAUGUGGUGGGUCCUUUGCUUGCUGUUCUGUGAUGGAGAGGGCAGUGGAGCUGGACUGGGUAGAGGGUCGGUCCCCUUUCCUAGCUCUACUUACUCCAAGAACUGAGACUCACAACUUCACUGGAGAAACUAGCCAAAUAAUAAUAACAAUGGCUUUGUCACUAUCUGACACAGGCCCUCUUUGUCCCUUGUAAUGGGUGACAGUGACAGGUCCAUGGAGCUGUGUGCUAAGGUGUGUACACUCCUGAAAUGGUGAUGACUUGAUACAUGCAUCCCACUAGUGAACACAAGGAUCUAGUAGCAAACAGGACAUUUGGGAUAGAGGUAGAGUUUAAAAAAAAAUGAUACGAAUAUAUGAAGGAAGUAAGAAAUGGUGGUGACCAGCACUCGGGAGGCAGAGGCAGGUGGAUCUCUGUGAGUUCGAGGCCAGCCUGGUCUCCAGAGUGACUGCCAGGAUAGGCUCCAAAGCUACACAGAGAAACCCUGUCUCGAGGAAAAAAAAAAGAAAAAAAGAAGACAUCAUCUUCCUGAGUGCUGGGAUUAAAGGUGUGUGCCACCAACACCCGGCUUAAAAAAAAAAUCUUAAAGACCGUGUUUUGGAUAAUGGACUUUCGUCUGCUAUCAUCAGUGACAGUCCUUGCUAAAUAUGGAUUAUGAAUUGUUUCAUAUUGUACUUGUUAGAAUUCUUUACCAGCCAUGAUAGUGUGAGAAUAAAAAAAUUGAAGAACUACAUCAGCCUUAAAGUAUUAAACCAAUAUUUUUGUUGUUGUUGUUUCAA